UACAGAGGGGGCGAGCGUUGUUCGGAAUUACUGGGCGUAAAGCGUGCGCAGGCGGUUGUGCAAAACCGAUGUGAAAUCCCCGGGCUCAACCUGGGAAUGGCAUUGGUGACUGCACGGCUAGAGUGUGUCAGAGGGGGGUAGAAUUCCACGUGUAGCAGUGAAAUGCGUAGAGAUGUGGAGGAAUACCGAUGGCGAAGGCAGCCCCCUGGGAUAACACUGACGCUCAUGCACGAAAGCGUGGGGAGCAAACAGG
rnacentral:rRNA from 1 species